rnacentral:tRNA from 1 species
GGGUGUGACGCUUAGAGGGGCGGUUCGUUUUGCAAAGACGUUUGAGGAGUUAUCCCAUGCCCU